GGGUUGUGAGGUUAAGCGACUAAGCGUACACGGUGGAUGCCCUGGCAGUCAGAGGCGAUGAAGGACGUGCUAAUCUGCGAUAAGCGUCGGUAAGGUGAUAUGAACCGUUAUAACCGGCGAUUUCCGAAUGGGGAAACCCAGUGUGUUUCGACACACUAUCAUUAACUGAAUCCAUAGGUUAAUGAGGCGAACCGGGGAACUGAAACAUCUAAGUACCCCGAGGAAAAGAAAUCAACCGAGAUUCCCCCAGUAGCGGCGAGCGAACGGGGAGCAGCCCAGAGCCUGAAUCAGUAUGUGUGUUAGUGGAAGCGUCUGGAAAGGCGCGCGAUACAGGGUGACAGCCCCGUACACAAAAAUGCACAUGCUGUGAGCUCGAUGAGUAGGGCGGGACACGUGGUAUCCUGUCUGAAUAUGGGGGACCAUCCUCCAAGGCUAAAUACUCCUGACUGACCGAUAGUGAACCAGUACCGUGAGGGAAAGGCGAAAAGAACCCCGGCGAGGGGAGUGAAAAAGAACCUGAAACCGUGUACGUACAAGCAGUGGGAGCACGCUUAGGCGUGUGACUGCGUACCUUUUGUAUAAUGGGUCAGCGACUUAUAUUCUGUAGCAAGGUUAACCGAAUAGGGGAGCCGAAGGGAAACCGAGUCUUAACUGGGCGUUAAGUUGCAGGGUAUAGACCCGAAACCCGGUGAUCUAGCCAUGGGCAGGUUGAAGGUUGGGUAACACUAACUGGAGGACCGAACCGACUAAUGUUGAAAAAUUAGCGGAUGACUUGUGGCUGGGGGUGAAAGGCCAAUCAAACCGGGAGAUAGCUGGUUCUCCCCGAAAGCUAUUUAGGUAGCGCCUCGUGAAUUCAUCUCUGGGGGUAGAGCACUGUUUCGGCAAGGGGGUCAUCCCGACUUACCAACCCGAUGCAAACUGCGAAUACCGGAGAAUGUUAUCACGGGAGACACACGGCGGGUGCUAACGUCCGUCGUGAAGAGGGAAACAACCCAGACCGCCAGCUAAGGUCCCAAAGUCAUGGUUAAGUGGGAAACGAUGUGGGAAGGCCCAGACAGCCAGGAUGUUGGCUUAGAAGCAGCCAUCAUUUAAAGAAAGCGUAAUAGCUCACUGGUCGAGUCGGCCUGCGCGGAAGAUGUAACGGGGCUAAACCAUGCACCGAAGCUGCGGCAGCGACGCUUAUGCGUUGUUGGGUAGGGGAGCGUUCUGUAAGCCUGCGAAGGUGUGCUGUGAGGCAUGCUGGAGGUAUCAGAAGUGCGAAUGCUGACAUAAGUAACGAUAAAGCGGGUGAAAAGCCCGCUCGCCGGAAGACCAAGGGUUCCUGUCCAACGUUAAUCGGGGCAGGGUGAGUCGACCCCUAAGGCGAGGCCGAAAGGCGUAGUCGAUGGGAAACAGGUUAAUAUUCCUGUACUUGGUGUUACUGCGAAGGGGGACGGAGAAGGCUAUGUUGGCCGGGCGACGGUUGUCCCGGUUUAAGCGUGUAGGCUGGUUUUCCAGGCAAAUCCGGAAAAUCAAGGCUGAGGCGUGAUGACGAGGCACUACGGUGCUGAAGCAACAAAUGCCCUGCUUCCAGGAAAAGCCUCUAAGCAUCAGGUAACAUCAAAUCGUACCCCAAACCGACACAGGUGGUCAGGUAGAGAAUACCAAGGCGCUUGAGAGAACUCGGGUGAAGGAACUAGGCAAAAUGGUGCCGUAACUUCGGGAGAAGGCACGCUGAUAUGUAGGUGAAGCGACUUGCUCGUGGAGCUGAAAUCAGUCGAAGAUACCAGCUGGCUGCAACUGUUUAUUAAAAACACAGCACUGUGCAAACACGAAAGUGGACGUAUACGGUGUGACGCCUGCCCGGUGCCGGAAGGUUAAUUGAUGGGGUUAGCGCAAGCGAAGCUCUUGAUCGAAGCCCCGGUAAACGGCGGCCGUAACUAUAACGGUCCUAAGGUAGCGAAAUUCCUUGUCGGGUAAGUUCCGACCUGCACGAAUGGCGUAAUGAUGGCCAGGCUGUCUCCACCCGAGACUCAGUGAAAUUGAACUCGCUGUGAAGAUGCAGUGUACCCGCGGCAAGACGGAAAGACCCCGUGAACCUUUACUAUAGCUUGACACUGAACAUUGAGCCUUGAUGUGUAGGAUAGGUGGGAGGCUUUGAAGUGUGGACGCCAGUCUGCAUGGAGCCGACCUUGAAAUACCACCCUUUAAUGUUUGAUGUUCUAACGUUGACCCGUGAUCCGGGUUGCGGACAGUGUCUGGUGGGUAGUUUGACUGGGGCGGUCUCCUCCUAAAGAGUAACGGAGGAGCACGAAGGUUGGCUAAUCCUGGUCGGACAUCAGGAGGUUAGUGCAAUGGCAUAAGCCAGCUUGACUGCGAGCGUGACGGCGCGAGCAGGUGCGAAAGCAGGUCAUAGUGAUCCGGUGGUUCUGAAUGGAAGGGCCAUCGCUCAACGGAUAAAAGGUACUCCGGGGAUAACAGGCUGAUACCGCCCAAGAGUUCAUAUCGACGGCGGUGUUUGGCACCUCGAUGUCGGCUCAUCACAUCCUGGGGCUGAAGUAGGUCCCAAGGGUAUGGCUGUUCGCCAUUUAAAGUGGUACGCGAGCUGGGUUUAGAACGUCGUGAGACAGUUCGGUCCCUAUCUGCCGUGGGCGCUGGAGAACUGAGGGGGCUGCUCCUAGUACGAGAGGACCGGAGUGGACGCAUCACUGGUGUUCGGGUUGUCAUGCCAAUGGCACUGCCCGGUAGCUAAAUGCGGAAGAGAUAAGUGCUGAAAGCAUCUAAGCACGAAACUUGCCCCGAGAUGAGUUCUCCCUGACCCUUUAAGGGUCCUGAAGGAACGUUGAAGACGACGACGUUGAUAGGCCGGGUGUGUAAGCGCAGCGAUGCGUUGAGCUAACCGGUACUAAUGAACCGUGAGGCUUAACCUUACAACGCCGAAGGUGUUU
rnacentral:rRNA from 1 species